rnacentral:rRNA from 1 species
AUUGAACGCUGGCGGCAGGCCUAACACAUGCAAGUCGAGCGGGGUUUUCGGACCUAGCGGCGGACGGGUGAGUAAUGCGUAGGAAGCUACCCGAUAGAGGGGGAUACCAGUUGGAAACGACUGUUAAUACCGCAUAAUGUCUACGGACCAAAGUGUGGGACCUUCGGGCCACAUGCUAUCGGAUGCGCCUACGUGGGAUUAGCUAGUUGGUGAGGUAAUGGCUCACCAAGGCGACGAUCCCUAGCUGGUUUGAGAGGAUGAUCAGCCACACUGGAACUGAGACACGGUCCAGUCUCCUACGGGAGGCAGCAGUGGGGAAUAUUGGACAAUGGGCGCAAGCCUGAUCCAGCCAUGCCGCGUGUGUGAAGAAGGCCUUCGGGUUGUAAAGCACUUUCAGUGGGGAGGAAGCGUUGUGUGUUAAUAGUACACAGCGUUGACGUUACCUACAGAAGAAGCACCGGCUAACUCUGUGCCAGCCGCCGCCGUAACAC